rnacentral:rRNA from 1 species
AACGAACGCUGGCGGCAUGCCUAACACAUGCAAGUCGAACGAGACCUUCGGGUCUAGUGGCGCACGGGUGCGUAACGCGUGGGAACCUGCCCUUAGGUUCGGAAUACCUCCCCGAAAGGGAUGCUAAUACCGGAUAAUGUCUUCGGACCAAAGAUUUAUCGCCUUUGGAUGGGCCCGCGUUGGAUUAGCUAGUUGGUAGGGUAAAAGCCUACCAAGGCGACGAUCCAUAGCUGGUCUGAGAGGAUGAUCAGACACACUGGGAAUGAGACACGGCCCAGACUGCGACGGGAGGCAGCAGUGGGGAAUAGAGGACAAGGGGCGAAAGCCUGAUAAAGCAAUGCCGCGUGAGUGAUGAAGGGCUUAGGGUUGUAAAGCUCUUUUACCCGGGAUGAUAAUGACAGUACCGGGAGAAUAAGCACCGGCUAACUCCGUG